AUCAAGGAUUUUUUAAAAUCCAUAACUUGAACAAAGAUUAAUACA
rfam:Dufourea novaeangliae contig503, whole genome shotgun sequence.